rnacentral:ncRNA from 1 species
AAAAAGUUUUAUUUUGGCUUAUUAAUUUAUUAUAGAUUUGUUUAUAUAUGUAAAUUUUUGUGUGAAUUUAUUAUAUUCUAAAAGAAUAUUUUAUUAUUUUUAUUCGCAGUAUAUAAUAUUAAUUAUUAGAUAAUUCUAGAAUUGGUAAUAUUGUUAAGUAUUGGCUAAAUUUGUGCCAGCUGCUGCGGUUAUACAAAGAAUACGAGUAAAUUAUAUUGGAUAUAAGUUAAAUAAUUAUUUAUUUAAUAAAUGAUAAUUUUUUAGGUGAAAUUUUAAUUUAUUUUAAUUAAUAAAAUAAGAAUUAUUGAAGCUUAAAAAUUUUUGUUAUAAACUAGGAUUAGAUACCCUAUUAUAAAAAUUGUAUUAUUAUAAAACCUGAGUAGUAUUAGUUAAGGUCUUGAAACUCAAAAAAUUUGGCGGUAUUUUAGUCUAUUUAGAGGAACCUGUAGUAUAAUCGAUAAUCCACGAUGGACCUCACUUAAUUUUGUUUUUCAGUUUGUAUACCGCUGUUAUUUGAAGAUUUUAUAAGAAUAAUAAUUUUCAUAAUUUUAAAUUAAAAAAUAUAUCAGGUCAAGGUGCAGCUUAUGAUUAAGAAUUUAUGGGUUACAAUAAAAUUAUUUAUACGGAUAAAUAUAUGAAAUUAUUUUUUGAAGGUGGAUUUAAUAGUAAAUUUUUAAAGAUAAAAGAAUUGAUUUUAGCUCUAAAAUAUGCACACAUCGCCCGUCGCUCUUGUUAUUAAUAUAAGAUAAGUCGUAACAUAGUAGAUGUACUGGAAAGUGUAUCUAGAAUGAC